rnacentral:lncRNA from 1 species
GUGCAUUCUGGGUGUCCACAUAUUUGUUGUUGCUUUAGGAAGAGGAGCUGGGAGGUUGGAGUCGCCACACAUGUUGAAAGAUGUGGCAAAAAACAAACAAACAAAACACCUCAUAGAGAGAAAUCCUGACUUUGUGCACAAGAAAAGGGAGUGAAGUGUGUGGGGUUUUUAAAGUGGUGGUGGGGGGGCAUUAGGAGAUACCCAGAAGCUCUCAAGAUUCCAAACAGUCUGCUUUUCUUUUCAGACAUUACACUCCAAGAAAAGAAACUCUAGUGUAUAACAGAGGGGCUCUGUCAAAAUUUAACAACAUAAAUAUUGGGCAAAUGAAGUUGUUUCUCUGGUGCUAUCUCAACCUGCCAAUGGAGAAAUAUCUCAAAAAGUCAAGAAUUGAAGCCAUUACUCAGAGACAGCAUCCUAUGGCAUGGUGAUCCAAAACAAGUACACCUCUACCUUUUCCCUUUCAGCCCCAAACCCCAAAACACUGGAGAAUAUUGGGGCAGGCAAGGCCCGUGAAUAGGUGAGCAGAGCUGGAAGAAGAGACUCCUGCCCCUGGUGGGCCUCAGGCUAUUUGUGGAAUGAUGUUUG